AGUGAACGCUGGCGGUAGGCCUAACACAUGCAAGUCGAACGGCAGCACAGUAAGAGCUUGCUCUUACGGGUGGCGAGUGGCGGACGGGUGAGGAAUACAUCGGAAUCUACUUUUUCGUGGGGGAUAACGUAGGGAAACUUACGCUAAUACCGCAUACGACCUACGGGUGAAAGCAGGGGAUCUUCGGACCUUGCGCGAUUGAAUGAGCCGAUGUCGGAUUAGCUAGUUGGCGGGGUAAAGGCCCACCAAGGCGACGAUCCGUAGCUGGUCUGAGAGGAUGACAGGCCACACUGAAACUGAGACACGGCCCGGACUCCUACGGAAGGCAGCGGUGGGGAAUAUUGGAAAAUGGGCGCAAGCCUGAUCAAGCCAUCCCGCGUGGGUGAAGAAGGCCUUCGGGUUGUAAAGCCCUUUGUUGGGAAAGAAAAGCAGCAGGUUAAUACCCCGCUGUUCUGACGGUACCCAAAGAAUAAGCACCGGCUAACUUCGUG
rnacentral:rRNA from 1 species